AAAACACGUCGCUCCUCCAGAGCAGAUUACACUGCAAAGUGCUUGUGCUGUUAUCUGCUCCACUUGAAACUUUAAAACGUCCCUGAUUCUGCUAAUUCGUGUAUGCCAUUUCUGCUUUGAACCCAUAAAUCUGGCUGCUGUAUUAGAGGCUGGCAUAGCACACAGUGUAAAAUGGAUUUAAGCUAGCAUUCUAAAUACCUAAACUGCACUGUGUUCAGUUUGCUAAGGACUACCUACAAAGUGGGACGAUAGGCAAUGUAAAGACCUCAGAACAAGCAAUAUUGGAUGCACGACUGCAAAUAGCAUGCACCCUACUGGAGUAUAAAGAUCAUCAUGGCUGAACAGGUGCUGGAAGAUGGAUGAGAAACACAAACCUGAAAUCUGAAAACCCAAGUUUAUUAACGGUUUUGAAAUUAAUGCGUACAUAUUGUACACGCCCUUUCCUGGACAGG